AAAAUUUUCUAACAUAUGUCAAUAUCUGAUCGAGAGACUUGACAUGUAGCACAAUCCUAAACAAAGCGUGCCUAAUUAGGUGGAUGUAAGAAAUAAAUAUAAUUGUGUAUAAAUAAUCUCUGAAAUCUAAAUAACUAGCUAGAUGCUGACAAGUGUAAGAAAAAAGAGGAUCCAACGGCUCCGCAAAAAAACUAUAAUGAG
rnacentral:sRNA from 1 species